rnacentral:rRNA from 1 species
CAAUAGCGUAUACUAAAGUUGUUGCGGUUAAAAAGCUCGUAGUUGAAUUUUGUCAUGUGUUGGGGUGGCGCCCUAACGGUGACUACUCUUGACGCGUGGCACACCUUCUGGGAAGCGGCUUGCUCUUUACUGAGUGGGCCGAUUGAUCCAGGACUUUUACUUUGAAAAAUUUAGAGUGUUCAAAAGCAGGCAUUCGCUUGAAUACAUUAGCAUGGAAUAAUGGAAUAGGACUUUGGUUCUAUUUUGUUGGUUUCUAGGACCGAAGUAAUGAUUAAUAGGGAUAGUUGGGGGCAUUAGUAUUUAGUUGGUCAGAGGUGAAAUUCUUGGAUUUACUAAAGACUAACUUCUGCGAAAGCAUUUGCCAAGGAUGUUUUCAUUAAUCAAGAACGAAAGUUAGGGGAUCGAAGAUGAUUAGAUAUC